CCUACGUGAGGCAGCAGUGGGGAAUUUUCCACAAUGGGGGAAACCCUGAUGCAGCGACGCCGCGUGAGUGAAGAAGUAUUUCGGUAUGUAAAGCUCUAUCAGCAGGGAAGAAAAUGACGGUACCCGAUUCAGAAGCCCCGGCUAACUACGUGCCAGCAGCCGCGGUCAUCCGUAGGGGGCAAGCGUCAUCCGGAAUUAGUGGGUGUAAAGGGUGCGUAGACGGGAGCACAAGUCUGGAGUGAAAUGCCGGGGCUUAAACCCGGAACGGCUUUGGAAACUGUGCAGCUAGAGUGCAGGAGAGGUAAGUGGAAUUACUAGUGUAGCGGUGAAAUGCGUAAAUAUUAGGAAGAACACCAGUGGCGAAGGCGGCUUGCUGGACUGUACCUGACGUUGAGGCACGAAAGCGUGGGGAGCAAACAGGAUUAGAUACCCGGGUAGUC
rnacentral:rRNA from 1 species